ensembl:lincRNA
AUUAUGAGGAAUCAUAAUGGUCAGAAUGGGAACAAACUGACCAAAGGGCUUACUGGAUGAAGCUAACCAGAUAGAGUGAGACCAGAGAGAAGAUGUGGCCCAGGAAGUCAUAACCUCCUGUUCCUGACUUGGACUUUCUCCUUUGUCCUGUGUCUGGAGACUUCUUGGAAGCUGAAGCACACAAAUAGCUACAGCAAACCUGAGGAAUGGACAUGAAUAGACUGGCUUUGGGGAACCUGCCAGCUUGGCUGUGUGGCCAAGAAUCCUGCUUUCUGUGAUGGAAACUAAUGAAUUGUGACCCAAUCCAUGAAAGUGUUAUCAACAGAAGCUCAUGGGAGCAUGAAGUCCUCUCUUGUGUGCAUGGUGGAUAUUCCUGUGGCUGGUGGCAGGCCAAUGCAGGAGAACCUGACAACAGGAAACCUUGAAAUGAGGAGACCCCAUUCCUUCGGUUCUAGAAGUAUGUUAAAAGAACAAGAGCAAGAGUCUGUUGGCUUUUUGCUUGGCACCGGUAUUCCUUUUGUGUCUCUUAAGCUUGGCAUCAUCGUCUAUGGAUCCGGAAACUCUGCAUGUUGGGUUUCUUCAGAGGUGUCUGUGGAUAAAGGCUACCCUCAGAAGACAGGGAUACUUGGAUCUCAAGAAACGAAAUAAAAUUUUAAAAUUUGACUCAUCUUUUUUGAGAAAACAAACUUAUAAAUCAUACAUUUAAAGAAGUAGAUGACAACAUUUAUAAUUGGCGUAAAUAAUAAUAAAAAGAACACUCAGGCUCCCACCAGCGGCAUUAAGUAACAAAACACUGCCAGUAUUUGACACCUGCGUGCCCUCCUUAAUCACAUCUCCUUCUCCCUGCCACCAAGAGGCAACAAUCCUGAAAUUUAUGGUAUUUGUUCUUUGUUUUUCUUUAUAGCUUUACUACCUAUUUAUGGAUUUCUGAUAAUAUAUUAAUUUUACCUGCUUUGGCCUUUGUAUAGGUGGUACUAUAUUAUACAUAUUCCUCUGUGAUGUGUUUUUGUGCAAUGUUAUGUUUUGUUUGUUUGUUUUUUGAGACGCUGUCUCGCUCUCUCGCCCAGGCUGGAGUGCAGUGGCGCAAUCUUGGCUCACUGCAAGCUCCGCCUCCUGGGCUCAAGUGAUUCUUCCGCCUCAGCCUCCCGAGUAGCUGGGACUACAGUCGCCUACCACCGCACCCGGCUAAUUUUGUUUUUGUAUUUUUAGUAGAGACGGAGUUUCACCGUGGUAGCCAGGAUGGUCUCCAUCUCCUGACUUCGUGAUCCACCGGCCUCCGUCUCCCAAAGUGCUGGAAUUACAGGCGUGAGCCACCGCACCUAGCCCCAAUGUUUUGUUUUUAAGAUUCAUCCAAGUUGCUGCUUGUAGGUAGCAACUAAUUUGUUUAUAUGGUAUUCUGCUAUAUGUUAACCCACUCUUGAUGGUCAUGUCUCUUUUUAAAUUGGAAAACAUGUAUCCCUUUCAAAAACAUUAAAAUAAAUACUAAAAGUCAAAACAAAACAAACAAAAAAAAACAGGAAAUAAGAUGCCUGUGACGAAUGCAUUGCUUGUGUCUGCAGACUAUUUAAAUGUCACGGUAUCGCUCCUUGGAACUCCCUGUUCUAAUAGGAAUAUAGAGCUUGGCUUAUCACAUUCCAUUUGAUUUGCUAUGACAUUUAUCUGUACCCUUUCUUGGUGGUUUGUUUUUUCAGAUUACCAGUUCCUUGCAUGUGAUUGAAGGGUUCUGGUUGCUUUAGAGGCAGCCCCGUCCCCUUGCCUUCACCCUGCCAGUUAAGAACAUUCAGGGCACUUUCGUACUAACAAGUCUCAGAUUUCCGUUUCAGGACAUUUGGGCAUAGGCCUUCAUACGAGAGUUUCCUCACAUACCUCAGGCUGUUGACAACAUGACUUGCCCUUUGCAAUCCACUUAUUCUGGACAUAAUGUAAGUGACAGUGAUAAUUCUAUGUUAUUCAUCUUCCUUGGUAGGCUUUUGUUCUUGAGUCUAUUUGUGGCUCAAUUUUGUAAAUGAAGAAAGCCAUUUUCUCUUUCAUGUCUUAAGCCUGGCUGAGAGAACAUUUCUCAGCUUCUGUUGACACAUCCAUUUAACUGUCCACCUAGGAAAGCUUGGAGAUCCUGAUACAGCAGCACAAAACAUCAGUGCACAGUCCCAUGAGAAAACCUCAACUGUUCAAGCCUCACUCUCUAAGACAGUUUUCAAGAGUAUUAACAACUAUCUCAUUCCUUCCUACAGAAAAGAAACAAGAAAAUUUUUCCAAGAGUGGUAAAACAUUCUACUUCUCCAACAUUUCUCUAAGUUUCUUUUCCUUUUUGUUGUGUAUUUCAGAGGCAGGUUUCAACUAUGAAUAAUGAGCAUAUGUUUGUCUCUUGAGAACAACCUGAGUUGCAAAGACUCCUUUUUAAGCUUCUCUACUUAAAGCAAUCAACUCUAUAAAUUAUACAUCUCUUACUUGAUAUGCAUUUUCUAAUAGGUAGUCUAAAGCCAUCCCAUAUGAAAACUCAUUUUCACACUAAAGGUGGAAAAAACCUAAAAGCCUUUCCUUUUUUUUCUUUUUUAUUGCCAAGAGGCAGAUAUUCUUCUUUUGAAAAGCCUGUUUAUUCCUGGUGGGAAGUUUUAUUUCUAUCUUCAGAAACAUCAUUUUAAAUUUGCGUAAUCAGUUCAGCAAACUGCUUCUUAUAGUGAUAAAUAAAUAUCAAAUUAAACUUGCAAUUAAAAUUUACUAAAAAUAUAGGUUGCUAUAAUUUUGUUGGUGAUAAAAGUACAGAAGUAGAAAUGAUUAAUGAUGAUUACUAAUUAUGCAGCUGUGUUCAGA